rnacentral:lncRNA from 1 species
CGUGGGGAUUAUGGGAACUACAGGAAGAGAUUUGGGUGGGACACAGCCAAACCAUAUCAGUGACUUUACCUUUUCCCCUCUGAUUUUUGUUCCUGUUUUAUUUUUAGUCCAUUACUAAUUGUGCUUACCUGGGAGCAGCUUAACUUAGCUCAUUUUCUGAAAAUUCUGGAGACCUAGAAAUGGCCUUGUGGCCUCUUCCUCACCUGAAAGGCACCUACUAAAGCUCAAAGAUGGCUCUGCCUUGGAUGUCCAAAAUUUCUGCUUUUGACUAUAGUGAAGAUGAGACUGGUGAGCUGCUGGAGCUACGGUAGUGACAUGGAAGCCCUGAUCCCACCUUUAAGGAACCUGUGGUUUAGGCGGGAACAUGAGGCAACUUCAUGCAAACUGCAGCAAGUGAAGAGUCUCAGCUGAGCAGAGACCUGGAGAGUCUGGGUGAAGGGAACAUUCUCUGGCACCUGAAGAAGGCUUAGCCAGACCUACAUUUUAGCAGGUGGAGAAGGAGUUAAAAAAAUCCAAGCAGGAGCCCUAAGGGAGCUCACAGUAGGAAAGCCAUGGGUGUUAAAGCCUCCAGCAGCAGUUGGCUACAGGCCUUUUGCAUAUCGAGCCAAUUGAUAAAAUGGGGAAUUAAUGCCACAGCCAGUUAUUCAAGCACUAGAACAAGAAGACGUGGAAGGGCAAGUGGGCCCCACUCCCAGCUGGGGGCUGCAGAUCUCUCUUAGGUAAGCAGUACAACCUGAGAAAAGAGGACAACCCUCUGGGAUCUUUGGCACCGUGACGCUGCCAUAUUCCAGGAGAGGACAGGUGAGGGUUCGCUGUGGCUGAAUCGGAAGGAGACAGAAGAAGCAGGGACGAGCCACCGGGCAGGCCUCAGGACAGGCUUAGGUUCUGAACUUGAUCCCAUGGACUGGUGUUACCCAGAGUGAAGAAAACUGUCUUUCCUCCUUUAAUACCUAUAUAUUUUAUUUUAGCACGUAUUGGGGAAAAAAUAAUAGUUGCAUU